rnacentral:rRNA from 1 species
UAAGGAAUAUUGGUCAAUGGACGCAAGUCUGAACCAGCCAUGCCGCGUGAAGGAUGAAGGUCCUCUGGAUUGUAAACUUCUUUUAUAGGGGAAGAAACCUGGAUAUUCUUAUUCAGUUGACGGUACCCUAGGAAUAAGCACCGGCUAACUCCGUGCCAGCAGCCGCGGUAAUACGGAGGGUGCAAGCGUUAUCCGGAUUCACUGGGUUUAAAGGGUGCGUAGGAGGACAGGUAAGUCAGUGGUGAAAUCUUCGAGCUUAACUCGGAAACUGCCGUUGAUACUAUCUGUCUUGAAUACCGUGGAGAUGAGCGGAAUAUGUCAUGUAGCGGUGAAAUGCUUAGAUAUGACAUAGAACACCAAUUGCGAAGGCAGCUCGUUACACGAAUAUUGACUCUGAGGCACGAAAGCGUGGGGAUCAAACAGG